UAAGUGGAGAGUUUGAUCCUGGCUCAGAACGAACGCUGGCGGCGUGCCUAACACAUGCAAGUCGAACGAGAAAUCGGGCACUCAGGCAACUGAGUGCCGGAGAGUAAAGUGGCGCACGGGUGAGUAACGCGUGGGUAACCUGCCCUCGAAUCUGGGAUAACAUCGCGAAAGCGUUGCUAAUACCGGAUACCGCCCCUCGGACCGUGGUCCAGGGGGUGAAAGGUGACCUCUUCAUGAAAGUUGCCGUUCGGGGAUGGGCCCGCGUACCAUUAGCUUGUUGGCGGGGUAAUGGCCCACCAAGGCUACGAUGGUUAGCUGGUCUGAGAGGAUGAUCAGCCACACUGGAACUGAAACACGGUCCAGACUCCUACGGGAGGCAGCAGUGAGGAAUUUUGCGCAAUGGGGGAA
rnacentral:rRNA from 1 species